UUCAAACCGGUGGCAAAAAUAUUAAUCCCACCGGUUCAAACCGGUGGCUUUGUUAAAAAAAAAAAAACCCGGCCUUUUCUAAAACCCACCCCUUUUGUUCCUUCCUAUAUAUUAAACCUUUUUACCAAACCCAGCCCCCUCAUCUUCUCUCUCCUCCCCUUUUCUUUCUGAACUUAUCUCUCCUCACUCCUCACAGCUCCUCCAUACCCAUUUUCUCAUCUUUGUUCUCAGCUCAGUCCACCUUCAUUCUUUUUUCUCUCGUCCCCUCAUCCCCUCUGCUCUUCUUCUCUUAUCUUCCUCGCCUCCUCCCUCCUCUUCACCUCUUUUGAAAACUGCCGCCGCCGCCAGUUACUUUCGCCGCCUAAGGUUUUCUGGUCAAAUUCGACCAUGAAAACUCUAGAUCUAGAGUUUUCAUGGUCGAAUUUGACCUUUAUAACCCAAAUUCUAGAUAAUUUCGGGGGAUUUUUGGUGAAAUUCGAGGUCUUAAUUGAUGCAUCAAGAUUCAAGACAUGCAACAAGAUUCAAGACUUUGAUUUUGAAAAAUUGUUUUAGACGUAUUUUUUUUAUUUAUUAUUUUUUAUUGUACAAUAAUUUAAAGCUGAAUUUCAUUGUUUGAUUAUAAUUCAAUGUAAUUUUUUUAAUUUUUUUUAGUAUUUUACAAUAACAAUUUACAAUAACAAUUCUUUUGCGCUCA